rnacentral:snRNA from 1 species
GUACAGUACAUAUAAUAAAGUUGGAACGAACGAUACAGAGAAGAUUAGCAUGGCUCCUGGCGCAAGGAUGACACGCAAAUUCGUGAAGCGUUCCAAAUUUUU